CAUCUGGACAUUCUGCAGAAGACCCUGUGGUUAAUAAAUGAUCACAUGAGCAAGAAGUGGCAAAUACAUUGGAAGACUAGCUCUCAGGACUUUUCCAAUUGGACGACAGUUAUGAAGGCUGUUCCUCCAAACCUGCUCUGGAAACGGGAGAAAGCAUCCAGGGAGAGAGAGACGACGAUGAAGAGGAAACCUGAGUGUGAAAGAGGAAAGGACAAAAGUUACUGUCUUGUGGUUGCUCUAUGGAGGGCAGGAUCACCUCCGGCCCAGCCACAUUGUUCUGACGUCCAGACUGGUGAUGAUGCACAUAUGACUCAGGAGGAUAUGAAAAGGUCUCUUACUCACAGGAUGAGGCUUG
rnacentral:lncRNA from 1 species